rnacentral:rRNA from 1 species
GCGUUAUCCGGAUUCACUGGGUUUAAAGGGUGCGUAGGCGGGUAUGUAAGUCAGUGGUGAAAUACCGGAGCUUAACUUCGGAACUGCCAUUGAUACUAUAUAUCUUGAAUAUUGUGGAGGUAAGCGGAAUAUGUCAUGUAGCGGUGAAAUGCUUAGAGAUGACAUAGAACACCGAUUGCGAAGGCAGCUUGCUACGCAAAUAUUGACGCUGAGGCACGAAAGCGUG